rnacentral:rRNA from 1 species
UACGUAGGUGGCAAGCGUUGUCCGGAAUUAUUGGGCGUAAAGCGCGCGCAGGCGGUUCCUUAAGUCUGAUGUGAAAGCCCACGGCUCAACCGUGGAGGGUCAUUGGAAACUGGGGAACUUGAGUGCAGAAGAGGAAAGUGGAAUUCCAAGUGUAGCGGUGAAAUGCGUAGAGAUUUGGAGGAACACCAGUGGCGAAGGCGACUUUCUGGUCUGAAACUGACACUGAGGCGCGAAAGCGUGGGGAGCAAACAGG